CUGUCCUCCAGUCCCUGAUUUCUGCAUCCUCCAUCAUUGCAUUUCCCCUCAUUCUCUAUUUCUCCUUGAAGUCGAAAUCGAGCCCUGACUGCAGAUCCAGGGUCUUACUUUUGUCACUCCGUCGCUCCUCUCAAGGCUGUGGAGGAAUAAACAACAACGUAAAGAAGAAGACAAAGGCACUUCCAAACAUACCAGGAGACAGAUAAAGGUCAACGUUCUUUUCUGACACAUCCACAUGGAAACUAAAGCCAAGAGUGGGGUGAAAUCAGCUCCAAAGAUGGAGAAGAAAGAUUCCGUGACCCCUACAAAGGCUGACCCUGACCCAUCUGCUAAACCAGAAAAAUCAUCAGAAGAUGGAGCUCCUAAUCCAGAGGGUGUGUCAGAGGGGAGCGAAGCAGCAGGGAGCAGCUGCGAGAUCCUGGAGAACCUGAAACCCUUCCUCAUUGGUGGAGCAAUUAUUGCCCUUGGAGCUGUAUUGGUGGGCGUAAUCUUAUUAGCCAAGAAUAAAUGAUUGUGAUUAGUUGAUUGGUUAAUGGGUGAUUGGGUCACAUAUUAUUGGAGGGGUGGUGUUUAUAUGCUGGGGUGCGGAGCCACUGUGCUUCUUCAUUUUCAAGCAGUGCUUAGAUUUUGAUGCUAGUAGUGAUAUUGGUAAUAGCCAUAGUAGCAAGCUUGCUCAAGGCACAUUCAGGUAUGAAUGUGACCAUGCACAAUCAUUUGAACAUCUGACAACACAAAUAACACAGCACAACACAAAAUAAAUAACCAACCUCCCAUAACAAACACACGUGUGUGCGCAUGCACGCACACACACACACACACACACACACACACACGUUUAUCUUGCACUUAUGUGCAGCAUUUCUCUUGACUCUUUUUUGAAGUUCAUCCUAGCUGCCAUCUCUAAUAUACUAGAUGCGCUAUAAAAAUGUUACAAUUAACCAUGUUAUAAUGACAAUGUAGAUGUUAAUUAUCAUUAAAAUAAAGUGCAAUAUUACUGUAAAAUAUUUCAGUUUAGUAAUAUGGUUAUAAAGUGGUGUAAUCCAAGAUCAUAGUCUAUAACAGAUGUGAGAUAGAUGGACAGACUGUUGAUUGGUAAAGUAAGGUAAAGUUUCAAAGCACUAAGUCCUGUCUCAGAGUAAGUUAGCCAUGAGGUUAAAACAUUAUGCACUUUGUACUCGAGAGAUAGCCAAAAUCAGUAUGUGUAAUAAGAAAAAGUAGGUGUGUGAUUGUAUGUAGGUGCAUGCCCUAGAUAUAGAAACUGCACUGAUGGAUUACUGCUUACUGAAUUCCUGUAAAAAACAAACAAACAAACAAACA